GAUGCUGGAUCCAAAUUUAUCAACAACACAUGAAGUAUUUGCAACAUGAAGCCACCAAUUCUCCAUAUGCGGCCACUGAAACUCCACACUUCUCCUUAGCCGAAAACAACACGCUCCUCAAAACUUCCAAGCUACGAUCGUGAUUGCUUCACGACUCUCGCUCGCGUUCGUCAUCAACAUCGUCCCGUCCCCAUCAAUGUUCACCGUUUCAAGCUUCGAAUCAGAACCAAAUGGAGAACAACACCCUAAUCAUUAAGUGAUGCUCUAAACUCAAUCAUCACCAACUCAGAGUGAUCUUGAUGCCCUGCGUUUGCUUUUGGUGAGUCAGGAAACAGAUUGAGAGCGAAGACGUUGUGGCUCCGAGAUUGAAGAUGAUUGCACGUUCUUCUACUAUCUGUGAAUGUUUGAAGCGAUGACUCGAGUCGCUCUUAUGAAUGAAGGUGAAGAGUGGAUCAGAAUUCUCAGAGCCUCUUGGAAGAGUGAUGAAGAAAAGAAGAAUCCCCUGAAUCGUAGUGAAGGAAGGUGAAGAAAAUGAGACUGAGAGAAUGAAGAAUCAUAGGAUUUAGAGUUUAUGAAGAAGCUUCAGAAUCUGAGUAUGGGCAUUGUUCAUGAUGCAAGACUGCAGAGUUGGCACCUAUGGUUGUUGCUUAUGUUGUCAUGCCAAAGUAUCAUCCAUGUUGGUCAUGAAUUAUAGUAUUAGGACCAUGUUGUGUAUAAUGAAUACUAGAAUAGAAAUAGGGUAUUUCUUUAUAUGAAUAACAUGUAAUGUCACAUAGGAUCAAUGCCAAUUCUCAUUGAUAAAUACUAGCAAUAUAUUGAUAAGGUUUGAACUUAGGACUUGUAAGAUUGUUGUAGCAUGAUGUAUGAAACAUGUAAUGAGCUCACACUUUUGUAAUAAAAACUCUUUACCAAAUCAUAAUGCAAAAUCAUAUGGAUGGAUUCUAGAA